rnacentral:pre_miRNA from 1 species
CAGCUGUAGACUCAGAGGCAGAGCUCUGGGGCAUCUCCAUCAUGGCCUGAACCCCUCUCCUGCUCCCUCUCCUCACUCUCUGCACAGGUGC